rnacentral:lncRNA from 1 species
UGAUUGUCUUGAUUGUCUAGCUUGUUUCAAGUAUUAUAUAUUAUUGUGGCAUUGGUGAUCAAACAGGAUGGAUAAUCUUGGUUUGAUCCCAAUGGGAUGAUCUGAUCUUGCAUUGAGUUGUGGUGGUGUUAGGUACACAAGGAAUGGGAUACAUGUAACUCACCAACAACCAAGAAUGUAAAGACAAAGGUCUUGUGCCAUUGCAUAUCAUCACUAGGACAUGUUAGUCCAUAAUCUACAGGAAGUGUAGUGUGAUUGAGUAUGCAAUGAGAGAGAUGGCCAUUGCAUAAUACCAUUGGACAUAUCUAGUCCUUAGUCUACAGGAAGUGUAGCAUGGGUCAUUAUGCAAUGAGAGGUGUGUCUUGUGAGACUCUCUAUGGUGAUUCAAACACCCUAGUUCCUGGUUAAGGAAGAGAGUAAACUCACAAGAAGAAAGCUAUCAUGAAAGAUGAUAGUUAUUAGACCAUGGAGAUGCAUAGGAUCAUCACAAGCUUAGCUCCUUCUAGUCUCGGUUCUAAGCUUGAGGGGGAGUCUUAAUGCAUAUGAUCCAUGGUCAGUAACAAGUUUUUGCAAAAGCUUCUACAAGGAUCAUCAACCGGACCAAGUCAGUGGCGUGUCUAGGCAAGAGGCUGUUCAGAGCAGCCUUGGCGAGUGAGGAGGAAGGCUCUCCAUCAAUGCGGCUUCAAUGAGAGGUGAUUGAGGAGAAGCUGAUGAAUCCAUUCUGCCUUUCCAAGAAGUUGAUGAUGCCAUGAAGAUGGUGCAUUGGCCGAGUUUGGAAACUCACAAAAAACAAGGGAAGUUCCCUUAGACUUUUAAAACUCUUUUCAAUCUUUUUCAUUCAUCUUAUUCAUUGCUUGUGCUUGAAAAGAUACUUAAUAUCAUUAUGAUUGAAUUGUGAGAUUGUGUGCAUCAAGUGUGAUGCAGGAUAUUCAUUUUCUUGUUUUUGAUAGGUACUGAUGCACCUUUGGGAUAAUGUAUCAGGUACCAUUGCUUGAGCCUCAUUAAAGAUGUUCCUGGUCAGUUCCCAGCUUCUCUAAGAUGGCUGAGAAGUCUGUUGAGAGGGGGAGAUCCAAACCAGUUUUAUGAAGAGGGCAAGCCGUGUGUGAAGUGUUGAUCAGUCUCACUGGUGUUUUGAAGAUGAUCUGGUCGUGUCCUAGCUUCUCUAAGAUGGCUGUGAAGUCAGUUGAGAGGGGGAGACUUCAAACCGGUUCCAUGAAGAGGUGAAGCUGAAAUGUGAAGUGUGCGCAAAGCUGUGAAGAGUUGCUGCACCUAUUAGGCCGUGAUCCAGAGCUUCUUGUGUCCAACCAUACUGGUUUUAAGGCACAAGAGCUCACUGGCCAAUCCCUAGGCUUUGGAGAGCUCUACUCUUUUUCCCUUGCAAGGUUUUGUCCCAAUGGGUUUUCCUUGUAAGGUUUUUAAUGAGGGAGACUCUUCAGAGUUCCAAGCUUGGCUUAGGAUCUCCUAAAGUCAAGCUUGAGGGGGAGUGUUGAACUGAAGAGAAGAUGGAGCUUGUACAAUGAUAGGGCAAGCUCUAGAAGAUGUCUAGAAGAGUUCAAUCAAGCUUCAGAAGUGUUCUGAAGAAGUUAUCUUGUGAAGAUAAGUCUAGGAAAGACUUAGACUGAUCAUGUGAGGGCUUUGGAGGAGUUAGAGAGAAGAUGGAAGUGUGGUGCAAAAAUAGGGCCAAGUCCAGGAGGGACUUAGAAGAGUAUUUGGGCGAGUGUGCAAACUUAGGGACUGGCCGUACGGAUUUGGUAUGGACAUUGUACGGACCGUACGGACCGAGACAUCCCGAAAGUUCACCAGUCAACCAUUUGAGCAUAGUUGAAGUUGGUGCAAAAAUAGGGUACUGGUGAAAUUCUUAAGAGAAGAAGACAAAGGAGAGGCUGGCGAGUGACAGGCUGGAAAGGAGAGUCUCUUGCUGUAAAGUAAAAAGCAAAAGGAGACCAUGUAUCUAGCAAAAGAAGUGGGCAGAUUCAUGGGAGCCUUUAGCUAGCCAAUAAGGAGCCAGCCUUCCCUUGACCAGAUUCAAAUGGACCAAUUAUCCAUCAGGAACAGCACAGCCACGACCAAGACCAUCUGUCCAUCUCAUCCAUUCAUUUAAAUUCAAGUUAUAACAGCCCUUAGAUUUAGGUUUAUGAUUGCAAGUUGUAAAGAGCAUAUAUAAGCUCAUAAGUGAUGUUUUGUAACUCUCAAGUGAGUAAGGGGGUUUCCCUUCUCCUUCUCUAAUCUGAAACACUAAUCUUCAGUCUCUUAUUCUCUCAGUCUCUCUCUAGUCUCUUAAGUCUCUUAAGUCUCUUAAUCUCUGUUCUUAAGUCUCUCACAUACUCAUAAACACUCUCAUCAAUCCUUUUCUCUAUAUCACCUAGAACAAGCUCUAAUCAUUCUUCAUUGAAGCUUAUACACACACACAUACUACAGAGUAGAGAUCUCUUUAAAAAUCAUACUAAUGAGCUUUAGAUCCUCCACGUCCUGUUAGGCCAGCUAGAAAGCAAGUGGAUCAAGAUUCUGGCUGCAACUCUCUUUUUGGACCGAAAAAGCCUUAUUUCGUCUAGAUCCAAAUAUAGCCCAAUCCAGAAACUUCCUGACAUGUUUUCCUUGUUCUCCAUACAUAUUUGGACGAGGUGAAUGGUAUCCAUAGCUCCUGUUAAGCUCAGUUGGUUGAAUCCUCUUUGUUCAAGCUGUUUCAAGGCAGUACCAACAGUUCUUCUCUUCUCUCUAUCCAGAACCUCAUAGAUCAUGCCAAUAAGAGUAUGAUAUUGUCCAUUAAACUGCACCAUGAUCAGUCGUAUAGCUGAUCCCAUACAUUGGCUUCAAUCCAUUGAUUCCAAUCCUGAUCAGGAUCACACCAUCUCCUCCUCCUUUAAAAGGAUUUGUCCUCAAAUCCAAGCUCUGUAGGAUGAUAGAACCUUGAUAAUUUAACUCCAAAGUUCCUGACCUGGCCAUGAGAUAUAUCAUCACCUCUCUAGUCUCUCCAGGAUGAAACACAAAGCUCUGCAGUCCUUCUUCAUGUCUCAGCAACAUCUUGGAACUUUCCUCACUACAUGUAGCUUCUAAGGCAGAUGAUUUCUCCACUUUGUUGAGUUUGCAGUUGAAUGCUUCUCUCCAGGAUGAUCCUACCCACGUCCUGAUCAUGAACAUGAGACCAUGUACUCUCAGUUUAACAUCCUUCUGGUCAGGUGGUCGUGUGGUUUGGUCCCCAUACUCAUCCUCCAGUUCUGGCUUCUCUUUAACCACCACCAGUUCCUGUUUAUCUCUUCUCAGCUUGUUCUGGUCAGUUAUGAACCUGAUAAAGGACGUGUUACCUCCUGACUCUCCUUCAUUCUCUCUGCAAAUAGUUUUUAUCAUACCAUUCUCUCUCCCUUUAAAAAGAUUUGACCACAAAUCUUGUUUUUCAAGAGUGAAUGAACCUUGCAAAUUGAGCUUGUAUGCAGUUGCUUUCUGAUCUAGAAUUUGUUUAUUUCUUCUAACCACACACAAGCUUCCUCCUGGUUCAAAAACAACUUGUUGCAGGCCCUUAACAACUCUCAGAUGUUCUCCACUAAGCUGAGCUGAAGACAUACCAAAGGUCUGAUUAGUAACUCACAAGCUAAAGACUUAAAGUUAUCACCUUGCUCAACAGUAGGAAGCACCAAUUCAAGAGCUUUAGAUGACCCUCCAGGAACUUUUUCUUCUUGUUUUAUUUGAUCAGGCACGUGGCCACACUCAGCUUCUGCAACUUCUGCCUCCUCCUCUAGUUUUAAACAAAGAGUUGUUGGUUCUGGUUCAGUUUAUGACUCUCCUCAAUCUGUUUUAUUGGAGAAGCUAAUAUAGAAGCUUGCAGCUUUUCCUCCUCUUGUUUUAAUGAUAGAACCGGAACCACAGAUCUUCUCUCAGCCGGUUUUAAUGACAAUUCAGACCAAUAGGCAGGCUGAUCUAAAGUAGUAAGCUUUGUUGCUGCUUCUGGUUUUAGUUUUGGAAGUUUCCACUGCGAGACAAACCUCUUCUUCAUCAAGGUCUUCAUCUCCACCCAUGAAAUAAUUUGUGGUUUUUUUUCAAAUCUCCUAGUCUGAGAAACUCUCUGCCACCAUGAGAAUGCACUUCCACAGAGUCCAUUGACUGCUAGACAUACCUUUUUCUUUUCAGUGUAGUAUAGGAGUCCAAAGAGAAACUCCAUCUUCUUUUCCCAAUCAAGGUAUGCCUCUGUAUCAAUCUUCCCAUAGAAGAAUGGAAUUGUAAGCUCUUCUUCAUAUCCAGACAUAGAAUACAGUUUGUUAACUGAUAAAUUUCGUGCUCCCUUGUUAAAACUUCAAACCCUAACCCUCAAGAGGCUCUGAUACCACUUGGUGCAGCCCUGGAAUGGCUGUCUCUCCCUGGAUCACUUGAAGGGGCGUGGGUGGAUGAAAGGUGAUGGAUAUGGUCUUCUCCUUAGAGCUAUGGAUGCUAUAAAGAUGUUUUUUUUCUGCUCCACAGACACAGGAUCACCCUGCUUAGUGUCUAGGAUGGAUCACUAUGAGAUUUGUAGAGUUCUCUUCUCUGGUUGUAUGUGUGUGUAUAAACUCCAAUGGAGAAAGAUGAGAGCUUGCUCUAGGUAAUUUAGAAAGAGAGAUUGGUGAGAGUGUUUAUGAGAGAAUAAGAGACUUAGGAACAGAGAUUAAGAGACUGAGAGAUUAGGAGAGUAAGAGAUUAAAGAUUAGGGUUUCAGAUUCAAGAACAAGUUUAUCAUUCAUGAAGUGGAGAGGGGAAAUCCCCCUUACUCCCUUAAUUCUAUUACAAACGACAUUACUUAGCUUAUAUAUGAGUUUCACACAACUCAGAUCAUAAACCUAGAUCCUAAGGCUGUAAAUACAAGAUAGAAUGGAUGGUAAGGAUGAGAGAAGACUGGUCUUGAUGUUCUGGUUCUUAGCUGGCGACUUGAUCCAAUGUAAAGGGCUUAGAUUGCUUCAUUUGAAUUGAAUGGAUAGGAUGAGUCAAGGCUGUAAAGGUAAAGCACCUUUACCUUUCCAGCUCAUACCAACAGCUACCUUAUCCAUUUGAAUCUUCCCUUGCCUCUCCAAGAGUCUCCAACGGUCACAUGAUUCAACCUAAGUCGCGCCCACACAUUGCACAACUUGGGCAAGGCUGAUCCGGGUAAUGGCCGUACUGGAUAGGUUGUACGGACGCUGUACGGCCUUGAGGUCCGUACACUCGCCCUAUCUUUGCACCAUACUUCCAUCUUCUCUCUAACUCCUCCAAAACCUUCACAUGAUCAGUAUAAGUCUUUCCUAGACUUAACUUCACAAGAUAACUACUUCAGAACACUUCUGAAGCUUGAUUGAACUCUUCUAGACAUCUUCUAGAACUUGCCCUAUUAUUGUACAAGCUCCAUCUUCUCUUCAGUUCAACACUCCCCCUCAAGCUUAACUUUAGUUGAUCCUAAGUUAAGCUUGGAACUCUGAAGAGUCUCCCUCAUUAAAAACCUUACAAGGAAAACCCAUUGGACAAAAUCUUGCAAGGGAAAAAGAGUAGAGCUCUCCAAGGCCUAGGGAUUGGCCAGUGAGCUCUUGUGCCUUAGAACCAGUGUGGUUGGACACAAGAAGCUCUGGAUCGUGGCCUACUAGGUGCAGCAACUCUUCACAGCUUUGCGCACACUUCACACUUCAGCUUCACCUCUUCAUGGAACCGGUUUGAAGUCUCCCCCUCUCAACUGACUUCACAGCCAUCUUAGAGAAGCUAGGACACGGCCAGAUCAUUUUCAAAACACCAGUGAGGCUGAUCAACACUUCACAUACGGCUUGCCCUCUUCAUAGAACUGGUUUGGAUCUCCCCCUCUCAACAGACUUCUCAGCCAUCUUAGAGAAGCUAGGAACUGACCAGGAACAUCUUUAGUGAGGCUCAAGCCAUGGUACCUGAUACAUUAUCCCAAAGGUGCAUCAGUACCUAUCAAAAACAAGAAAAUGAAUAUCCUGCAUCACAUUUGAUGCACACAAUCUCACAAUUCAAAAUGAUUGUUGCAUUGUCAUUGUUAAAAAUUGAAAAUCUGCUUGUCUUGACUCAGUCCAGUUCUGAUUGUUGCUAUGCCAUAGUUAAAUCCAUCAGUGAUGUAUUAUAAGCAAAUAGUAGUAUGUCUAAGCUACUUGAAUCAUUGGCUUUGAUAAAACUGUAUAGAACUUGCAUUGUCAUUGUUAGAAAUUGAAAUCUGCUUGCCUUGACUCAGUCCAGUUCUGAUUGUUGCUAUGCCAUAGUUAAAUCCAUCAGUGAUGUAUUAUAAGCAAAUAGUAGUAUGUCUAAGCUACUUGAAUCAUUGGCUUUGAUAAAACUAGUGAGCAUAAGCAUGAAUUGAGUAACUCUUGUCGUCUUGAUUGCAUAAGUAUCAUCUAGACUUGUGUUCCAUUUGGAUUGAAUCUGUUUCAUUCAUAUAGUUAGUGUGUAACCUAAUGCAUUCAUCUAUUGUUGCAUUUAAAAAAAAAAAAGAAGAAAACAAAACUGAAUUGAUUGUCUUUGCUUGAUUGUCUUGAUUGUCUAGCUUGUCUCAAGUAUCCUAUAUUAUUGUGGCAUUGGUGAUCAAACAGGAUGGAUAAUCUUGGUUUGAUCCCAAUGGGAUGAUCUGAUCUUGCAUUGAGUUGUGGUGGUGUUAGGUACACAAGGAAUGUGAUACAUGAAACUCGCCAACAACCAAGAAUGUAAAGACAAAGAUCUUGUGCCAUUGCAUAUCAUCACUAGGACAUGUUAGUCCAUAAUCUACAGAAAGUGUAGUGUGAUUGAGUAUGCAAUGAGAGAUGGC